rnacentral:rRNA from 1 species
GACGAACGCUGGCGGCGUGCUUAACACAUGCAAGUCGAACGGUAAGGCCCUUCGGGGUACACGAGUGGCGAACGGGUGAGUAACACGUGGGUGAUCUGCCCUGCACUUCGGGAUAAGCCUGGGAAACGGGGUCUAAUACCGGAUAGGACUCCUGGCUUCAUGGUUGGGGGUGGAAAGCUUUUGCGGUGUGGGAUGGGCCCGCGGCCUAUCAGCUUGUUGGUGGGGUAAUGGCCGACCAAGGCGACGACGGGUAGCCGGCCUGAGAGGGGGACCGGUCACACUGGGACUGAGAUACGGACCAGACUGCUACGGGAGGCAGCAGUGGGGAAUAUUGCACAAUGGGCGCAAGCCUGAUGCAGCGACGCCGCGUGAGGGAUGACGGCCUUCGGGUUGUAAACCUCUUUCAGCUAUGACGAAGCGCAAGUGACGGUAGUAGCAGAAGAAGGACCGGCCAACUACGUGCCAGCAGCCGCCGUAA